rnacentral:rRNA from 1 species
AUGGCCUCAACGCUUCUCGCCAUGCUUGCCUCCAUGUCAUGCAUCGGAACUGUCUUGCCGAACAAGGCCGCAAUCACUCUCACGUGCUGCUCUCGAAGGGGGGAGUCGAAUAAGUCCUUGAGCUCAAGGUGGGUAACUUACUGGAACAGGGCGCAGCCGUCUGUGACGCAACCUCGAUGGCGCGGUCCAGCCAUGGCCGCGGCGGCUGCAACUCCCACUCCCGCCUGCACGCCGACGUACCUAUACUUACACGAACAUGAGUCGCAGGUUGCAAGGAAGAGCAGGAUUCUCACGUUCACUGAGUUAUCGUGUACGGCGGGCGGCGAUCAGGGUCCGUGGACUUGCAGCUGUUGCUGGUCUGCACCGUAUAGUGACUGA